rnacentral:rRNA from 1 species
GUCAUUGUAGCAAUACAAGGCAGACGGCUCAUUAACGCGUAGUCAACCUACCCUAUGGACGGGGAUAACCUCGGGAAACUGAGAAUAAUACCCGAUAGAACAUUAUUCCUGGAAUGGUUAAUGUUUCAAAUAAUUUAUUGCCGUAGGAUGGGACUGCGGCCUAUCAGUUUGUUGGUGAGGUAAUGGCCCACCAAGACUAUUACAGGUACGGGCUCUGAGAGGAGUAGCCCGGAGAUGGGUACUGAGACACGGACCCAGGCCCUAUGGGGCGCAGCAGGCGAGAAAACUUUGCAAUGUGCGAAAGCACGACAAGGUUAAUCCGAGUGGUUUCUGCUAAAGGAACCUUUUGUCAGUCCUAGAAACACUGUUGAAUAAGGGGUGGGCAAGUUCUGGUGUCAGCCGCCGCGGUAAAACCAGCACCUCAAGUGGUCAGGAUGAUUAUUGGGCCUAAAGCAUCCGUAGCCUGGUUUGUCAGUUUUCGGUUAAAUCCAUACGCUUAACGUAUGGGCUGCCGGAAAUACUGCAAAGCUAGGGAGUGGGAGAGGUAGACGGUACUCGGUAGGAAGGGGUAAAAUCCUUUGAUCUAUUGAUGACCACCUGUGGCGAAGGCGGUCUACCAGAACACGUCCGACGGUGAGGGAUGAAAGCUGGGGGAGCAAA